CCGGCGCUCGACCCGAAGCAGCUGGAACAGGGGUCGUUGCCAAAGGGGUGGUGGCUACCGACGGGCCAGACCAUUCGCGGGCGGCGACCGGGGGUGCGCGACGUGCGCGGCGGAGCGGGAGCGAGGGCGCCGGGGCCGGCGACGGUUGGGAGGAACCAAGGACGAGGGGGCGUCUCAGCACCCCGCCCCUCUCCGGGAUGGCUACGGGCGGGAAGGGCCAACCGAGGAGCGACCGCUUUUCCCUACUGACGACUGAGAAGGCGCUUUAGCUUUUCCGGCCCCCCUCCCGGUUUGCUUUGGUCCCGCUCUGGGUUCUUUUAGAAGCCGGCAAACAGAAGACCUAGCAACGCGGGCGCCUGGGCGGUGUCCCCUCCUAAGGAGAUGUGAAAGGGCGCUGGCCCGGAGCCCUGCCUCCGUGCCCCUGCUGCUCCAGCGCGGGCCCCCGGGGCGCCAGUCCUGCUGCAGAGCUCACCACUGAUGUAUUACCACCAAACAGAGCGGGCCGUCUGGAGCACUUGAAGGGACUCUUCAGAUCUUUUAUCCAAGCAUCUCUGUGGAGCAAAAAAUAAAAGGAUGUUCGUACAUCAGUACCAGCGCAACAGAAAUGCCCUGAGCUCCACGUUGCUGAGAAGCCGGGGCACUAGAUCCUCAGUGAAGCCAGGCAGCUGUGACUCAGGGCCAGGAUGGCCUCUGCCUCGGAAAUGUGUGAUUCUUCUCUCCACGCACAGAUGUUUCACUUUCAAAGGAGACAACAAAGGAACAGAACUGAGGUAGACAAGAUGCCUUUUGAAUUAGAAUUCUCUGUCUGGUUGACAGAGAUAUAAGCAAGGAGCAUAAGGUCUUUGGUGGGCCACCUGAGACCAAACUGGGAUUUAGAACAUUAUCAUCUAUAAACCUGAUGGACUUGGCGACAGCUCCAGCCAUCUGUUCGUAUACAUUGAUGAUCUUGGACCAUGUGUUUCUGAAUAAAGAAGGAUGGAGAAA